AAAGACAUUCAUGCCAAAAACAUUACAGCAUAUUAUCCUGUUGAUUGUUGAAUGUCCAAUGUCCAUUUGAUUUAAAUGCAACAUUCAACGUGUUAGGGUGUUAGGUUAGGGAUAUGCUUUUAUAGUAGCUAGAAUGGUUCUGAAGUUGAAACGAUACAUUUGUUUGAAACGCGAUGGCCAGAAGGAAAUAGUUCCUCUAUCUCCUGAGGUUAAAACAGAUUUCCAGGAGAGACCGACAGAGUUCGCUAAAGUGUCGCAAAUGGGAUUUCCGUCAGUUGACGAACAUCUCGUUUCUAUGGGAACCUGCCUACCUUGUAGGACGUUGUGUUUUUAUCCUGUGUAACAAAUCAUGGCUAACAAUCUGGUUAUCAGAGCUUUGAAAGCUAACUCAAAGUCGUUCAAUUUGAGCUCGAAGAAAAUGACCGACGUUCCCACAUCGGUUGCGAGAUUAACAAAUAUUUCGACCCUUCAUUUGAACAAUAACUACCUUACGACUCUGCCUGUGGAACUGCUGACGUUACAAAACGUGAGUACCGUUAACGCUGAGCUAGCCAGCCAGACUUCUAUGCAAACACCUUGUUUGCUUGUUAGCUAUAGUACAGUUAUGUCUUAGGUUCUUUGACUUGCCUGCGAGCUAUUUAACCAAUGUAUUUAUCUUGCUUAUGUUGCUUUUUUGUUCUCUUUUUGCAUCCUGCAAAGUUGACAGAACUCAAUUUGGGAAAUAAUUCUCUGGAGGAGAUCCCAUCUGUUCUGAGGUACCUGAACUCCUUGAAAAAACUUUAUUUGUUUGGAAACCACAUUACAAGAUUGCCACCUGAGGUGUUAGAAGGACUUCAUAACCUCACUCUCCUCAAUCUGAACCACAAUCACAUCACAGUCCUUCCUCCAGAGAUUAAAAGUCUUUCUAACCUAGAAACCCUCAGUUUACUGCACAACCAAUUGGAGGAACUUCCUGUAGAAAUAGGUUCUCUCAAGAAGAUGGUUGAGAUUAAUUUAACCAACAACAAGCUGGCCAGACUGCCCAAACAGAUAUACAGUUUGUCACAACUGGCCAGAUUAUAUCUGGCAAGAAACAACCUCACACAGCUGCCAGAGGGUGUUAUUGGGCUGAUGAAGCUCAGAGUGCUGGAUGUGGCUGGAAACCGUUUAUCCAUGUUUCCUGUCGAU